rnacentral:lncRNA from 1 species
AACCCUAUGGUAUCCUAUGGGCACCCUAUGGUACCCUAUGGCACCCUAUAGAACCCUAUGGCACCCUAUGGUACCCUAUGGUAUCCUAUGGGCACCCUAUAGUAUCCUAUGNAACCCUAUGGUAUCCUAUGGGCACCCUAUGGUAUCCUAUGCAACCCUAUGGUAUCCUAUGGGCACCCUAUGGAGCCCUAUGGCACCCUAUGGGCACCCUAUGGAACCCUAUGGUACCCUAUGGAAGCCUAUGGCACCCAAUGGUAUCCUAUGGCACCCUAUGGCACCCUAUGGAACCCUAUGAUAUCCUAUGGUAUCGUAUGGUCACCCUAUGGUAUCCUAUGGUACCCUAUGGCACCCUAUGGAACCCUAUGGCAUCCUAUGGGCACCCUAUGGCACCCUAUGGUAUCCUAUGGGCACCCUAUGGGCACCCUAUGGUAUCCUAUGGCACCCUAUGGAACCCUAUGGGACCCUAUGAUAUCCUAUGGUAUCGUAUGGGCACCCUAUGGGACCCUAUGGUAUCCUAUGGGCACCCUAUGGUACCCUAUGGCACCCUAUGGCAUCCUAUUGCCACCCUAUAGGCACCCAAUGGAAGCCUAUGGAGCCCUAUCGUAUCCUAUGGGCACCCUAUGGGCACCCUUAUGGCACCCUUAUGGCACCCUUAUGGUACCCUUAUGGCACCCUUAUGGCACCCUUAUGGCCCCUUAUGGCACCCUAUGGCACCUAUAGCCCCCUAUAGCACCCUAUAGCCCCCUAUGGAACCCUAUAGCACCCUAUGGGACCCUAGAGCACCCUAUAGCCCCCCAUAGCACCCUAUGGGACCCUAUAGCACCCUAUAGCACCCUAUAGCCCCCUAUAGCCCCCCAUAGCACCCUAUAGCCCCCUAUAGCCCCCCAUAGCACCCUAUAGCCCCCUAUAGCACCCUAUGGCACCCUAAAGCCCCCUAUGGCACCCUAUGGCACCCUAUGGAACCCUAUAGGCACCCUAUAGCACCCUAUUAGGCCCCCCCAUCAGCACCCACUUUUAUUUAGCCACCUAUAGCCGCCCAUUAGCACCCAUAGCAACCCUAAGCCCCGAUUAGCACACCCAUAGCACCCUAUAGCCCCCUAUCAGCCCC